GUACUUACUCCUACGGGAGGCAGCAGUGGGGAAUUUUGCACAAUGGGGGCAGCCCUGAUGCAGCGACGCCGCGUGAUUUAGAAGGCCUUCGGGUUGUAAAAAUCUUUUGUAUGGGAAGAAAAUGACAGUACCAUACGAAUAAGGACCGGCUAAUUACGUGCCAGCAGCCGCGGUAAUACGUAAGGUCCGAGCGUUGUCCGGGAUCAUUGGGCGUAAAGGGUACGUAGGCGGAUAAGCAGGUUAGAAGUGAAAUCCUAUAGCUCAACUAUAGUAAGCUUUUAAAACUGCUCAUCUUGAGGUGUGGAAGGGAAAGUGGAAUUCCUAGUGUAGCGGUGAAAUGCGCAGAUAUUAGGAGGAAUACCGGUGGCGAAGGCGACUUUCUGGCCAUAAACUGACGCUGAGGUACGAAAGCGUGGGUAGCAAACAGGAUUAGAAACCCGUGUAGUCCAGGCAU
rnacentral:rRNA from 1 species